ensembl:lncRNA
GAAAAACUGAGGCCUUCUGAAGCACACAACUCUUCAGUGAGUGAAACUGGGAUUGAAUCUUCCGACCCCUCAAAUGAACCCUCAAAAUGACUGCAGCCCCAGCUGACAUCUUGAAUGCCGCCUCAUGAGAGACCCUGUGCUGGAACCAUCGUGCUUAAUUGCUUCCAGAUUCCUGACUCUCAGAAGGCUAACCGUCACCUGGAAGGAAGAAAUGUUCAGCAUGGUGCUAAUUGAUGUGUAUAUUUACUGUGAAGUAUUACCCCAGGAGAAAAGAGGCAACCAGCUGCAUGAAUGGAAUUUGGAGAAAGGCUAGGAAUGAACUCUAUCACUUCUCAAGAUACCAGCGAUCAUCUAAACCUUCUUCUAAACUUUGACUGUACAUUUGGAAUCAUCUGGGAAACCUCAAAAAAAAUUUGAUUCUGAUGUGUCUCCCGGAAAUUAUUAUAUCAUUGGUCUUCAGUAAGCCCUGAGUAUCAAGAUUUUUAAAG